rnacentral:lncRNA from 1 species
AAAUAAAGGUCGAGCUUCUUGAAGGUGGAACCUUUUGGUUGUCCGAGUCUCCCUCUGUUCCUGGAAGCAUUUCAUGGGGUUCUGAAGUUCCUUGCAUUGCAACAUGGGCUAUAUCCUUAUGAUUUAGAAAUGAAAUUACAGAUUCAAUCAAUUGUAUUCAAACUUUGUUUCACUUUUGUUGCACAAUCUUUGGAUCACUUGGUUCCUUGACAUCAUGUCCACACAUUUCAACUGAAAGGAGUUGAGCCUCCUGGAUUCUCAUUCCAGAUAGUAAAUACAAACAUGGACGAGUUUAGUCCUCGUGCCCGCCGGCGAAGUGCUUUGCUUACAUGGCAGCACAUUGCAUCCUUACCCCCUAGCCUAC